GAUGAACGCUAGCGAUAGGCUUAACACAUGCAAGUCGAGGGGCAGCACAAGGUAGCUUGCUAUCUGGGUGGCGACCGGCGCACGGGUGCGUAACGCGUAUGCAACUUGCCCUAUACAGGAGGAUAACCCGUCGAAAGACGGACUAAUACUGCGUAUGCUCACAACUUGGCAUCAAGUGGUGAGGAAAGAAAUUCGGUAUAGGAUAGGCAUGCGUCCCAUUAGCUUGUUGGUGAGGUAACGGCUCACCAAGGCAACGAUGGGUAGGGGAACUGAGAGGUUUAUCCCCCACACUGGUACUGAGACACGGACCAGACUCCUACGGGAGGCAGCAGUGAGGAAUAUUGGUCAAUGGGCGCGAGCCUGAACCAGCCAAGUCGCGUGAAGGAUGACUGUCUUAUGGAUUGUAAACUUCUUUUAUACGGGAAUAACAAGAGUCACGUGUGACUCCCUGCAUGUACCGUAUGAAUAAGCAUCGGCUAACUCCGUA
rnacentral:rRNA from 1 species